GUUCACCACCUUUUUUCUGCUGGAGGGUGUUCAGUGCUGCUGGCUGAGGUUGGUGUACUGCUCAUUCCCCACUUCUCUCCCUCCAGCCGGUGUGCUCUGUCUGGGAGGUAAUGCUGUCCCUUCCUACCAGCAUACUAUACAACAGGGGUCCGUUUGCGGUCUUAGAUGGCCGUGGCGCGUGACUGGCCCCCUCUUUAGCGAUA